GGGCGAGGUCUCUGGUUCAAGUCCAGGAUGGCCCA
rnacentral:tRNA from 55 species